rnacentral:rRNA from 1 species
UUCCGGUUGAUCCUGCCGGAGGCUACCGCUAUUGGAGUUCGAUUAAGCCAUGCGAGUCGCGAGAAAUUAGAUUCUCGGCGUACCGCUCAGUAACACGUGGGUAACCUGCCCUAUGCUGGAUAAUAACCUCGGGAAACUGAGAAUAAUGAUCCAUAGUUCACUACGCCUGGAACGGUGAGUGGAUGAAAGCUCCGGCGGCAUAGGAUGGGCCUGCGGCGUAUCAGGUUGUAGGGGGUGUAACGUACCCUCUAGCCCUCUACGCGUACGGGUGUUGGGAGACAUAGCCCGGAGAUGGAUUCUGAGACACGAAUCCAGACCCUACGGGGUGCAGCAGGCGCGAAAACUUGGCAAUGCGAGAAAUCGUGACCAGGGAACUCCAAGUGCAUCGGGUAAGACCGGUGCUUUUCUUGACUCUAAAUAGGUCUUGGAAUAAGGGGUGGGUAAGGACGGUGCCAGCCGCCGCGGUAAUACCGGCGCCUCAAGUGGUAGUCGCUUUUAUUGGGCCUAAAACGUCCGUAGCCGGUCUGAUACAUUCGUGGGUAAAUCAACCAGCUCAACUGGUUGAAUUCUGCGAGGACGGUCAGACUUGGGACCGGGAGAGGUGUGGGGUACGCUCAGGGUAGGGGUAAAAUCCUGUCAUCCUGAGCGGACCACCUGUUGCGAAGGCGCCACACUAGAACGGAUCCGACGGUCAGGGACGAAGCCUAGGGGCACGAACCGGAUUAGAUACCCGGGUAGUCCUAGGUGUAAACGCUGUGGACUUGAU